CCUACGGGCGGCAGCAGUGAGGAAUAUUGGUCAAUGGCCGAGAGGCUGAACCAGCCAAGUCGCGUGAGGGAAGACGGCCCUACGGGUUGUAAACCUCUUUUGUCGGGGAGCAAAGCGAGUCACGUGUGACUCGUUGAGAGUACCCGAAGAAAAAGCAUCGGCUAACUCCGUGCCAGCAGCCGCGGUAAUACGGAGGAUGCGAGCGUUAUCCGGAUUUAUUGGGUUUAAAGGGUGCGCAGGCGGAGGGGCAAGUCAGCGGUCAAAGUGCGGGGCUCAACCCCGUACUGCCGUUGAAACUGCAUCCCUUGAGUGCGCGAGAAGUAUGCGGAAUGCGUGGUGUAGCGGUGAAAUGCAUAGAUAUCACGCAGAACUCCGAUUGUGAAGGCAGCAUACCGGCGCGCAACUGACGCUCAUGCACGAAAGCGUGGGUAUCGAACAGGAUUAGAUACCCCUGUAGUC
rnacentral:rRNA from 1 species